rnacentral:lncRNA from 1 species
GUAUGUGCGUGUGAGCUCCUCCUCCAUCAUGCUGGGGCCCCAACUGGACCGCAACCGCCUGGUCCCCCCAAUGGACGUCUCCAACGGCAACCAUUGUCAGAUGGGGGCGAGCGACAGAGGGCUGGAUGAAGUGUGUCUGUACCAGACCGCUGCCUGCACUCUCUACUCUGAAGCGCACACACCCACGCCGCUAAGAGCCACUGCUAGUGCUAACACUAACGCUAACGCAUCAGCUGGCUCACACGCCAUCCUGCGCACACACACUGCGGAUCACGGUCUGCAACAAGGCUGCUCCCAUCCAGAGGUGGAAAUGCCAAGUCUGGAACAUAAGGUCCUGGACAGGGGGUCUCGCGGGGCCUGUGGGAGGAACCGGGGAUCCAUCACUAGGUCCUCAGAAGGAUACGGGACAGAGGAGGAGUGUGUGUUGUCUGACCCCCAAGGAGAGAGUGACGCCGACGCUGACAUAGAGGACACAGACUGCAGGCUCCAGGAGCCGGGUAGCCUCCAGCGAAUCAGCUCACGGCGGCGCAAGCGUCCGCGGCCGACGCGCCAGGACACCACGGAGAGCGAGGACGACGGGGGGCGGAGCCAGCGGACCCCCCGCUGGAACCCCCGGCUCAGCCCCCACCGCGGCCACAGCAGGACCAUCCUGGAGGAGAGCGUCUCUCAGGUCAGGCCGCUGGUCAUCCGUCGACCGAGCGCCGAGGUGCAGACGGCCGGCAGCCCGGAGGCUUCCGGAGGCCCCAAGCCAGCGCUGUGGCCCUCGGCCCCUCCCCUGCCCCCCCGUCUCCUCCUGCUCCUCCUCCUCCUCCUCCUCCCCCUCUCCCUGGUCCUCCUGCUCCUCUUCAGACCCUGGGCUGGUGCCUGACCACCCAGAGUGCCCCCCCCCCCCCCCCCCCCCCUUGUUGCUAGUUAGUAGUGAUCGAGGGUUUGAGUUUAUUAUGAACCAUGCACUACUCAGUAAUACACAGACACAAUAGGAUAGCACACGCAGACAGAAACUUUGGUCCGACGUCCUAUUAAGUCUUUCUUUAGGUUAUUUGGACAUUCUAGAUGUUCAGCUAAGAUAUAUCUACUUUUAGAAAACUUGCUUUGAGGGAUAUUAAUUAAAACUUCUACGAGGUAGGAUGUAAGGUGACUUUUGCAAUAUGUUUAGAACAUUCUACUAUUUACUUUUUACUAUUGAGUCAUUAAUACAGACUUUUACCCAAAGCAUCUUAAUGAGGACCAAGCACCCCAUGUAUUUUGGUUUGCGUUGUAGAACGCCGCCCUCUACAGGUCAAACAAAUGCAACUGCAGGCUGCUAUUGCAACGGCUGAUUAAGAACGUGCCCGUCCUCCGCUUAUUGAGUCUGCGAGGCCCAAUAAUUAAUCAAACUUUUAAGCAUUUUCAAAAGGCACAAUUGUGUCAUGCUCACCAAACUUUUAAGUGUUUUUCUUUGUAAUUGAGCGUGUAUGGUUAAAUCCCAUUUCCGUUUCCAAGUCUGUAACAAAUCCUCAGGAAUGCGCCACUGUGUCCAGGUGAUGUCCAUUUCCAUUAAUUGGCAUCAUCUGGGAAGAGUUGGAGCCAAUCAGAAGCACAUGCAGUUAGUAGUGUUUCACCACAAGGGGCCACUGAAAAACGAUGUAUGUACAGUGUUUUUGUAUGUAUUUAUUUAUGUUUUUUUUUUGACAAAAACAUGUAUUUAUCCUUCAGAGAUUUGAUUUCUAGCGGCACACAAAGUGAUAUUAAUUAUAGAUAAACUAUUAUCAUUGGAUUUAAUGUCAAGCCCUGUCUAUUCAGACUUGCUGUUCACAAAUGAGAAAAGUGGAAUUCUCUUGUCUCAUGUCAACUUUAAGUGAAGAUUGAGCUCAACUAUGCAGUCCCUUAUUACUCCGCCACAGUAAGUCAUAUUAACGUGUAUUUUCCUUCUCAAUCUAUUCAGUUGAGGUCCAUCUAGGGCAGCCCGUAGGCCUAUGCAGUUUAAUCCUGUUUUAAUGUUUAGUUAUAUUUGGAUUGAAAAGUCUGUUUAAAAAAGCUCUUUAAUCUUCUCUUGUGCGCGUCUGUGAAGAAAUGAAGGAGAGCGAAUGUGGGAUGAACGUUUGGCUGUUGCUGAUCUUAUUACAAUAUUUGCCAACUGCUUGCUGAUGUAUUGUAAAAAAGAAAAGAAAAGAAAAAGGAUAUUUUCCAACCCUACAACCCUACAAGCAUAGGGCCUUCAGGAAACUCAAAUGACAAUCCUUAAGCCUAUAAGCUAUACUGAAUAGGGAUGAAGCCAUCUUGAUGUAAUUUCACUAAACAGUGUAUUUAAAUUAAUGUGAUUAGGAGAUAGCUUUGUUGUUUGAUGAUGUAAAUACUCAUACAUUUUGUCGUCUCUGCACCUCAGUAGCCCUCCUUUGUCAUGCAGCAUUAUAUAUAGUUUUCCCUCCAUUUUGUGGCAGUGUUUUCCUGCGUCUGCACAUUAUGCUACUGACCAAGUUUCAUUGGAGCACAAUGUUUUCAUUAAAACCUAAAUUGUAUUUUGACAACAACAACGCUUCCUCUGGUUUCUUCAAGGUUCCUACAACUCCUGGCUUCGUAACAUUUGACGCGGCAUCGUCAUAGUAACACUGAGUGUCGCUCCAUGGUAACGGUUCAGAAUGAGCUAGAGCUAAUCCCUGACCUGUCACUUUGCACUGCAGAAGAACCAAGCUUGAGGUUAAAAACACACCACGGUUCCUGAUGUAGGAAUGAACAGACAUAUUCAAAUCAAUGAUACAGAAAUAACCACAUGGAACUUACAUGUGUAAAAAUGUAAAAUAAAAUACUUAAUACUUAAUAAAAUAAUAAAAUACUUACAGUCCUAAUUUAAAAUGCGGACUGAUAAACAAAUACAUUCAGAAUAAAAUAAACCUUACCGGUGCAAAUGUCAAUAAAUAAUAGAAAAUAAAUUGACACCUAAAUAAAAACGAAGAUAUUACCAAAAAAUUAUAACUGUAAAAAAUAAAAAUAAAGUGGUGUUCUUUUCCUCAAGCUGAUUUGAAGGCGUCUGUGCUCUAGUGGUGCCUCCAUGUGUCCCCACCUCUGAUUGGAGUGAGGAGGCCGGGGGGCCGGCAGACACAGCGCAGGCUGGUGGGCUGAGUCACCCUGCAGACCUGGCUGGGCCGCGAGACCAGGUGCAAGUGAUUAGCACCCACACACACCUACACGUACACACGCACGCACGCACGCACGCACGCACGCACGCACGCACACACAUAUGCACACACACAGGGACGCACAAGCCAUGGAUGUAUUAUAAGAACACGACAAUGCUACACUGUACACAGUGCUACUGUGCUGCAGUAACCUCUUUUAAAUCACUUCUUAAAACACAUUUUUGUAGACUUGCUUUUACGUGAUGUCAAAGCACUUUGUUAACCAUUGCUUUUAAAGGUGCUAUAUAAAUAAAGAUAUUAUUAUAUUAUUAUUGUUACUACAGUACUUUAGUUCUAUGUCCUACAGUACUAUAGUUCUAUGUGCUACAGUACUAUAUGCUACAGUACUAUAGUUCUAUGUGCUACAGUACUAUAGUUCUAGGUGCUACAGUACUAUAGUUCUAUGUGCUACAGUACUAUAGUUCUAGGUACUACAGUACUAUAGUUCUAGGUACUACAGUACUAUUGUUCUAGGUACUACAGUACUAUAGUUCUAGGUGCUACAGUACUAUAGUUCUAGGUACUACAGUACUAUAGUUCUACAGUACUAUAGUUCUAGGUACUACAGUACUAUAGUUCUAGGUACUACAGUACUAUAGUUCUAGGUACUACAGUACUAUAGUUCUAUGUGCUACAGUACUAUAGUUCGAGGUGCUACAGUAAUAUAGUACUCUGUAGUACUACCGUUAACCUUUAUCAACACUGGAUACUACACUACUACUGUGUGUGUGUGUGUGUGUGUGUGUGUGUGUGUGUGUGUGUGUGUGUGUGUGUGUGUGUGUGUGUGUGUGUGUGUGUGUGUGUGUGUGUGUGUGUGUGUGUCUGUGUGUGUGUCUGUUUGUGAUUACAUUACCCCGUAUGUUCGGCAUGCCAUCAGCCAGGGCUUUGUUUUAUGGAGCACAAACCUGGGGUCAGUUGUCAGGACCAUCCCAGUGUUUAGAAUGAUCUCUUAACGCAUUGAGCUUUCAUCUGACCUCGCCUCUCUGGACACACAUCUGAGGAGAUCUCAAACAAGGCAUUGAAACCCUUCCAGCUGUAGGCUAUGUUGUUGGCCCUGAAGGGCUCAACAAAGCUCUAUUAAGAGUUACUCAAUAUAAACACAAUGGCGUGGGUCUUCAAGCACUCGCAGUAGAAAGCGUGACCCUAUUUUAGAAAGGUCAACGCUAGCAAGAGCGGGUGAGCUAAUUCACGGGGCUGAAAUAAGCCUCGGCCGCGUGUGUCCGCUGCCAACACAGCAGAGACAACAGGUGUAAAU